rnacentral:tRNA from 1 species
GCUUUCGUGGUGUAAUGGUCAAGCACACUUGGCAUGUAUUCGAGAGGUCCGUGGUUCGAGUCCCGGCAAGGGCA